rnacentral:rRNA from 1 species
GGUAGUUGGUGAGGUAAUGGCUCACCAAGCCUACGAUCAGUAGCUGGUCUGAGAGGAUGAUCAGCCACACUGGGACUGAGACACGGCCCAGACUCCUACGGGAGGCAGCAGUGAGGAAUAUUGGACAAUGGGCGAAAGCCUGAUCCAACCAUGCCGCGUGAGUGAUGAAGGCCUUCGGGUUGUAAAGCUCUUUCGGCGGGGAAGAUAAUGACCGUACCCGUAGAAGAAGCCACGGCUAAAUUCGUGCCAGCAGCCGCGGUAAUACGAAUGUGGCAAGCGUUGUUCGGAAUCACUGGGCGUAAAGAAUGCGUAGGCGGCUUGACAAGUCAGAAGUGAAAUCCCAGGGCUCAACCCUGGAACUGCUUUUGAAACUGUUGGGCUAGUGUCCCGGAGGGGUUGAUGGAAUUCCGAGUGUAGAGGUGAAAUUCGCAGAUAUUCGGAGGAACACCAGUGGCGAAAGCGAUCAACUGGACGGGUACAGACGCUGAGGCAUGAAAGUGUGGGGAUCAAACAGGAUUAGAUACCCUGGUAGUCCACACCGUAAACGAUGUGUGCUAGUUCUUGGGCAGCUUAGCUGUUCGGGGACGGAGCUAACGUUAAG